rnacentral:lncRNA from 1 species
UUCGAUAAACCCAACACACCAAAUAGGGUAUUCAUUACCCAUCCAACCCUACACACCAUUCAGUGUCGGUCUAACACAUUUUAGAGAUUGCAUACUAGCUGGCAAAUUAGUAUACAAAUACCAGGGACUUAACCACUGGUUCAGAACAGAAUACUUCCCCCUGAUUCAAUUCCCAUCCAAUGCAUAUACAUACUUCACAUAACAGUUAAUACAGAGUUUUAAACAAAUAUUCAAUUACAACUCAUACUUGUAUACAGUAGAUCAAUUCUAGUAAU